rnacentral:rRNA from 1 species
GCAUAUCAAUAAGCGGAGGAAAAGAAAAUAACAAUGAUUCCCCUAGUAACUGCGAGUGAAGAGGGACAAGCUCAAAUUUUAAAUCCGUCGGGUUUUACCUGACCGAGUUGUAAUUUGAAGAGGCGUUUUCCGCGUUUUUGAUCAGUCCAAGUCCUUUGGGAUAGGGCAUCAUGGAGGGUGAGAAUCCCGUUCGGCUGAUCAGAUUCGCUUUACGAUACGUCAUCAAAGAGUCAAGUUGUUUGGGAAUGCAGCUUAAAAUGGGAGGCAAAUUUCUCCUAAGGCUAAAUAACGGCGAGAGACCGAUAGCGAACAAGUACCGUGAGGGAAAGAUGAAAAGAACUUUGAAAAGAGAGUUAAACAGUACGUGAAAUUGUUGAAAGGGAAACGAUUGAAGCCAGUCGUACCGGUGGGUAAUCAGCCUUUCGACGUGAUUAUGUGGAGCGUGAGGAGUUAAACGCCCUCAUGCCUGCAUAUUCGUGUUCUUUGGGUGUACUUACCCGCAUGGUAGGUUAACAUCAAUUUCGAACGUCAUAAAAUGGUUGGAGGAAUGUAGCUUCGAUCUCGUAUUGAAGUGUUAUAGCCUUCGGCAGAUGUGAUGAUCGGGAUCGAGGAUUGCAACGGAUACCCUUCGGGGCUACCCGUCUGAUCUCUGAAAGUUACUCUGGUGCCGAAAGCUCGCUUACGGUCAUCAAAGUUGACGUUCAACAGGUUAGAACGGGAUAUAUUCGUUAAGGAUGUUGACGUAAUGGCUUUAAACGAC